CCGCCGUGGUAAUCCCGGCAGCUCAUGUGGUCGUCGCUUUUAUUGGGCCUAAAACGUCCGACUCCUGUUUGGUAAAUCUGUGGGUAAAUCACCCAUCUUAACUGGUUGAAUUCUGCAAAGACUGCCUCACUAGGGACCGGGAGAGGUGUGGGGUACUCGAGGGGUAGGGGUAAAAUCCUGUCAUCCUUCGAGGACCACCAGUUGCGAAGGCCCCCCCCUGGAACGGAUCCGACGGUCAGGGACGAAGCCUAUGGGCACGAACCGGAUUAGAUACCCGGGUAGUCCUAGGUGUAAACGCUGUGAACUUGGUGUCGGGGGUCCCCAAGGGGUCCCCGGUGCCGGAGUGAAGAUGUUAAUUUCUCUGGCUGGGAAGCACGGUCGAUUGGCUGAAAUUUACAGGAUUUGGCGGGGGAGCACUGCAACGGGAGGAGCGUGCGGUUUAUUGGAUUCAACCCCGGAAUACUCCCCAGGGCCGACUGUUAUUUUAAGACCAACGCAUUGAACUUGACUCAUUUUCCGAGAGAUGUUGCAUGGCCGUCAUCAUUUCGUACUGUAAAGCGUUCUGUUAACUCAUAUAACGCACGAUACCCUCCUCUCUAUUUGCAACCUGUCUCUCCGGAGGCGGCGCACUACUUACACACCGCUGGUGCGAUACCAGACGAAUGAGAUGCCUACGACAGGUCAGUUCCUCCCGGAUGUCAUGCAUUUCACGCGCGCUACAAAGGACGGGACAACGGGAAGCUAGGCCGAGAGGCCACGCUAACCCGAAACCCGUUCAUAGUUAGGAUUGAGGGCUGUAACUCGCCCUCAUGAAGCUGGAUUCAGUAGUAAUCGUGCUUCAAAACAGCACGGCGAAUAAGCCCCUGCUCCUUGCACACACCGC
rnacentral:rRNA from 1 species